GGACAGUCCAGGAGAGUGAGGGGGACAGGGAACCGACCUGUCCUCUGGACGCGCCGACACCAGGACGUCCACGCACUGGAGCAAGCAUGGUGAGGAAAACUGCCCCAAGGCUUCUCCAGGUGCCCUGGGGUGGAGCAGUCAGGCUCGCGUCCUCGCCCAGAGCGCAUGCGUGGGCCACCUGCGGGAGGGCUGCGCCUGCGCAACAGGCCGCACGUGCCUGCCGCGUGGAGCUUAUAAAUGUGGGAGCCAAGGCCCAGCUGUCAGAGACAUUCCAGGUCGCGUCGGUUUAGAGUAGGUGGGCGUACCGAACACGGGGGUGAGGGGUCGUCACGGAGGUCCGGUGAGGGAUAGGUGCCGAGGGAGCGGAGAAGGCCGGCUGGCAGGACUGGGAGCGGCCUAGGAAAUGAGAGCCUUUUCAGAAAACAGUGCACAUUUUGAGGCCAGUAAUGCCAGACCCUUUUUUACGUGCACGCCACGGGCCGCAGCCUUACCUGAGUCCCUGGUGCCAGAAUGCCACCUGCAAUCCAUUCUCUGUUCCUGGGGCAGGUUUUAGAAAUGGAAGUCUGUAUUUUCCAUCUUCAGUGGUACUCAGUGA